rnacentral:tRNA from 1 species
GCCUGGGUGGCUCAGUCGGUUGAGCAUCCGACUUCAGCUCGGGUCGUGAUCUCACAAUCUGUGAGUUCGAGCCCCGCAUCGGGCU